AAUACCUACGGGAGGCAGCAGUGGGGAAUAUUGCGCAAUGGGCGAAAGCCUGACGCAGCGACGCCGCGUGAGGGAUGAAGGUCUUCGGAUCGUAAACCUCUGUCAGCAGGGAAGAACGGUCACUGUGCUAAUCAGCAGUGAAUUGACGGUACCUGCAAAGGAAGCACCGGCUAACUCCGUGCCAGCAGCCGCGGUAAUACGGAGGGUGCGAGCGUUAAUCGGAAUUAUUGGGUGUAAAGGGUGCGUAGACGGAAGAACAAGUUGGUUGUGAAAUCCCUCGGCUCAACUGAGGAACUGCAACCAAA
rnacentral:rRNA from 1 species